UUCAUCUUCUUUCUUCCCUGUCAUGUAGCCAUUUCCGCCAUCACACGAUGCAAAAAUGAACGCAUACCAUAAAGUAAAACUCCUGAUUCACUUAUAUGAACAAUCAAAUUUCUACAUCCCUUUUUCACUAUUAUCUCCGCACUACUAAAAAAUGUGCAAAUUCCGACUGAAACUUUUCGACGGAAAAUAGUAGUCGGAAAUUUCCGGCGGUUUUAAUCAGAAAAUGUAAAAAAAUUUAUUAAAUUUUUAAAAAAAUUUCGACCACAUUCCGACAACACUAGUCGCAACAUUUUGGCGCAAAAAUCCAAAAUUUUUGUUAGCGAUCGAUUUGGUCGGUCCAUGAAAGUCAACUUUUAUGUUUCACCAGUUUUGUUCUUUCGACUGAAACGGUCGGAACAUUAAAAGUUAAAAAAUAAAUUUUUUCCUUUAUUUUCCAACUGAUUCGGUGGAAAAUCUUUUUAAAUUUUUUGUCAGUGAUAUACCGACCCAAACAUUCGGGCAAUAAAUAUUAUUUUAUUAGUACUUUUGCAUCCGACCGAGUCGGUCAAAAAUAUGUUUUGGAAACCUCCCCGACCCCUUUCUUCUUCUCUUUCACUUUUCUUCCUUUCUUUCUCUUCUCUUUCUCUUCCAUCGACGACGUUCUUGUUUGUAUAUCAAUUUUCCAAAGGCAGCAAAUCCGGCGUCUAGGGGUUGUUUUCCGGUGAGGUAAGUUCUCCGUUCAUCCUUUCUCUGGCCUUCAAUCUUAAUAUAUUUGUUCUUUUUUGUUUUGUUUAUUACAAUUCAAGUUAUUAAUUUUACACUAUCAUAUGUAAUUGAAUCUUGAGAACCAUUAUAACAAAAGCUCUAAAUUCAUAUUUUAGGGAAUUGAAGUAGAUAAUUCGCUUUCUUCCUAAGGCAUCUAUAAGUACUUUUUUUUAACUAAGCUAGAUGUUCUUUAUGGCUUUUUAACUUACUUUAUUUAGCUUUGGACUAGUAAUAAUUAACCUCUAGACUUUGAGUUUUCUUGAUUCCUCUUCCUAAUACGAUGUACAAGUGAACUAUAUAUACUUGUGUGCUAAUUUUGUUUUGUAUAUGGUAUUGAUCUUGAAACCUACUCCUAAGUAACGGAAAAAAAAUAAUGCCCUUGCCUUUAUCUAAUUUGACAUCCUGAGAAGUCAUUGUAACAAAAGCUCUAAAUAUGCAAUUCUAAGACUUGCAAACACAUGAUAUUUUUUUAAUUAUUAUGCAAUAAGCCAAAUGUACAUAAUAUCACCAAUACUUGAGGAACUCUUCCCCCCUGCCCCUUAAUUCAAAUAUGAUUAUGGAAUAAGGUUUAUUGAAAAAGCAUCAAGAAAGUUUCUUGGGAUUGUAAAUGAAGCGAAGAUUUGUGUGCAUGUUUAAUUACGUAACUUUUUAUGUUAAAAAUCUAAUUGUGUUACUUAUGAAACAUAGCUAAUAGUGAUAUUAAUUUUAAAGAAUAUUAGUUUAGAGAAGUUUAAUACUUAUCAAUUUUUGUAGAUGGAAUUUGGGUAUCGUAGAUGAAUAUAUAAUAGGAAUUAUCCGAAUCGUAUGGGGUUUCGGGAUGAAUUUAUGGAAGGGGUUGCUGACUUUAUUGCUAAUGCAAAGAAACUUGAUGAUUUUCUUAUUGAAGGGACGAUUAGGCGCCCUUGUGUGAAAUACAAGUGUGUUAAGUUAUUCGGACCAGAUACUAUUACUGUUCAUCUCUAUAAGAAGGAGUUUAUGAAAAACUAUUAUUUGUGGAUUGUUCAUGAGAAAAGUCAUGCUAGUGCAGAUGGUAUUGAUUUUUUAGAAUUCUUUUGGUAGUGAAGAAGAUAGUCUCAUAGAGGAGAAUAUUUAUGUUGAAAGUUCUCAAUUUAAUGACAUGACGAGUGAUGCUUUUGAGAUGUUCCCAGAGGCUCAAUCUGAACCAAAUGAUGAGGCUAAAUGCUUCUUCAAACAGUUAGCCGAACCUAAUUGUCCGCUUUAUGAAGGCUUGGUGCAUUCCAAGUUAUGUAUUGUAAUUAGACUACUAAAUAUUAAAUCGGAUAAUUCUAUUUCUCAAUAGGGCAUGGAUUCUAUCAUUGGCCUUAUGAGCGAACAAUCCAACAAAGAUUGACAUACCCAAAUAUUUUUACACAGCUAAAAAAUUAGUUUUCAAGUUGGGUCUUUCAUUGGAAAGGAUUGAUUAUUGUAAAAAAGGUUGCAUGUUAUUCUAUAAGGAUGAUGCACCUUUAAAAAAUUACAAAUUUUGUAACCAGCCUCGUUACAAAGAAGUCACAAAUGCUAAACAGAAGAAGGUUCCAAUGAAGGCAACGCACUACUUACCCUUUAUACCAAGGUUAAAGAGGUUAUAUGGAUCAAUGAACUCCGCUCCUCAUAUGAGAUGGCACUAUGAACAUAGAAGGCCAGAUGGUGUUCUAUGCCAUCCGUCAGAUGGAGAAGCAUGGAAGUCUUUUGAUAGGGUAUUACCAGACUUUGCUAGUGAACCAAGAAACAUUAAGUUGGGAUUAUGUGCUGAUGGAUUCACUCCAUUUGCAGCCUCUGCUGCACCAUAUUCAAGUUGGCUAGUGUAUGUGACGCCGUAUAAUCUUCCGCCUGAGUUGAGUAUGACAAGUUCAUAUUUGUUUCCAACUUUUAUUGUUCCAGGUCCAUGCAAUCCAAAAAAAUAAUUGAUGUUUACAUAUAGCCCUUGAUUGAUGAGUUGAAGUUAUUGUGGCAUCAAGGUGUGAAAAUAUAUGAUAUGUCAACUAAGCAAAACUUCAAAUUGCGUGUUGUUUUAAUGUGUACUAUAAAUAAUUUUUCUACUUAUGGAAUGAUGUCCGGGUGGUCAAGUGCCAGAAAGUUAGCUUGUCCGACUUGUAUGGAAGACACAAAGGAAUUCACUUUGAAACAUGGAGGCAAGAACACAUGGUUUGACUUUCAUUGUCGCUUCUUGCCAAUGAAUCAUGAGUUUAGGAGAAAUACCAGUGCAUUUAUGAAUAACAAAACUGAUUAUGAGGUGCCACUGCAUGUCUUGUCGCCUAAAGAGACUUGAAACAGAGUUAGGAAUCUACCUAAGGUAACAGAGUAUCCAUUAUCUAAUGACAUGCAUAUCAAGAAGAACUUUUUUGAUAACUUGUUUAAUACUAUGAUGGAUCAGCAACAAGACAAAAGAUAACUUGAAGGCUAGGAUGAAUUUGAAAAAAUAUUGUAGGUGAAGUGAGUUGUACUUGACAUACUUGAACAACAAGAUUCAGAAGCCUAAGACUAGUUAUACACUUUUGAUGAGAGAAGAGAGAUUUGUGAUUGGGUUAACAAUUUGAAGAUGCCUGAUGGAUAUGCAUCAAACUUAUCUAGGUGUGUUGACAUGAAAGAAGGGAAGUUGACGUUUAUGAAAAGCCACGAUUGUCACAUUUUCAUGGAAUUUUUUAUGGCUAUCGCUUUCAAUGUUUUGCUUGAUAGAAUAUUGAAGCCCAUCACAGAGAUAUGCUUAUUUUUCAAGGAGUUGUACUCUAUCACAUUGUAGGUUGAGAACCUAGAUUACAUGGGUAGUAAUAUUCGUUUAACUUUAAACAAGUUGGAAAAAACUUAUCCGCUUGAUUUUUUUUGAUGUGAUAGAACAUCUUCCAAUUCACCUUGUGCAAAAGACACAACUAGGAGGUCCAGUUUAAUGUAGAUGAAUGUAUCUCUUCGAGAGAUAAACCUUUAAUCAAUUAUCCUUACGUAUUUUAGUUAAACAUUAUUUUAUCUUAAAAUCGUGCUAUGCAACAUGAUUGACAAAUAUAAGCGGACCGUGAAAAGUAGAUCAAGGAUAUAGGGGUCAAUAUGUGAGGCAUAUUUGGAUAGAGAAACUUCUUAUGUUUGUUCAUAUUAUUUAAACUUGAUGUGUUAUGUUUAAGAAAUAGACCUGAUCGGCAUGAUGAUGGAGGCAAUACCGAUCCAUUGGCACCACCUUUUUCCAUAUUCAAUCAACCUGGAAAAGGUGGUCCAAAACGUAGUCCAACACAAUUUUUGAUUGAGAUGGAGCUAAAUUCAUCUACAACACAUGUACUACUAAAUUGUCCCGAGGUCCAACCUUAUUACAGGUAAGUGUAUAUUUAUAUUGCCAACUUAUUCAAGAUCAAUUAUCAAUUAUUUUAUCUAAUGAAAGUUUCAUUUCUUUCGGACAGUUGGUUUGGGGGUACAUUUGGGUAUGAGCAUGUUUAUCCUAACACUGUGUAAGUAUUAGUGAAGUUUGCUUCAAGGCAAAUUAUUAUCAAUUGUACGUACUUUUUAAAUUCUAGUUGUUAUUGGGUUCGCUCUAGGUUCAUAAUCCAGAUAAUGACGUAAAUGAUCUAUUUUGCGUGAUAUUGCUUGGGGACAUGACCCUAAAGUCAGAAUGAUGUCUAAGUACUACAUCAAUGGGUACACGUUUCAUACAUAAGAAUGGUCUAAGGUACUCAUUUAUCAUUGCACAAAAUAUGAAACAUGUGCAUUAUGUACCUUAUCCUUUGUGUAAGAAUAAGGUUGUAUGUCGGGUAGUGAUAUCAACAAAGCCCGUGGGUAGAGUUGAAGUCAAGGAUGUAUUUGAUGUAGCGUACCAGAAUGACAUAUCAAAUGUUGAAUCAAUAGUGGAUGAUGAACUAGUAGGUGAAUUCCAGGAUAGUGAAUGCCUCUAUGAAGAAUUCGAUCCUUCAAUCCUAGAUCAAAUCAAAGUGAGUAUAAGGAAGGAACAUCCAUGGCAAACAAGGACGGAGAUUCAAGUGAUGAAUAUGAAGCAAGCGAUGAUGAAGAAUUAUAUGAUGAAAAUGAAAAAAGAUGAUAAAAAUGAAUAUGAUCAAUAUGAAGAAAGCGAUGAGGAUUGAGUUAUUUGUGUGUUUUAUGACUUGUUUGAUUUCUUAUGUUAUUCCUUAUGUUAUUGUUUUAUUUUUAUAUUUAGUUGGAUUGUUUAUCUGUUUUUUCUUUAAUUAUUUUAAUAUAUAGAAGAAUUGCUUUAUACUAUGACAUCAUAGUUGAUUUUUUUUAUUAUUAUACUUGUUUUACUUAAAUUGCACAUACGACUUCCAAGGUAAAGAACAUAAAUAAUCUAAGAAGAAAAAAAAAUACUUUGCCAUCUACAAGUCACAUUUAUUCACAUAUGCCUAGUAUGAGUACUCCUCCUCGUAUUCUGAGUCCUUCUCAGUCGACUUCAUUACCACCCAAGUUUUUCAGAAUUCCUCCCUCCGGUCAGUACAGUACGGUAUUAUUCCAUGUCAGUAAAUGGUGGUUCAGCCUCCAAUACUAUUAAUUUUAUGCCCACACCUACUUUGCCACCUUUGAGUCAUCCCGUCCCUGCUAGUCAACUUGGUGGCUCACCAUUGAUUCUAUCCUCGGGCGGCCAUAACAAUCAGCAUGAUGGUUUGUCUUUUGUGCCUCCAUCAUCAUCCACUCCAUAUCAUCUCUAUCAUUAUCUACUCGUAGUAUAUCUAGACUGGAUAUUGGAGGCUCCCAAACGGCUCCAUCCCUAUCUACAAUUACUACUUCAGUUGUUUCUUCACGGAGACAGUAUGCUCGUGGGACUGUAGAGUACGAUCAUUUGCAUCGGUUGAUUAUCGUACCCCAUGAAGACGAGCCACACAUAUGGUUGUGGAAUUUAUGAAGCUAUUUUUUCAUGAGCCGUAGAAUUUAUGAAGCUAUUUUUUCAUGAGCCGUGGAAUUUCUGAAGUGAGAUACCAUAUCAGAUUAGAGUGAAUAUGUGGCAUCAAUUUAAGACUAAUUGUGUAUGGCAGCCUCAACAUGAAAUUUAGGUGAAUGCAAAUUUCGAGAAGAGAACUCAAAAAAUAAUUAAAGAUAGUCAUUUUGUUGCUCGGAAAGGUGGCAACAAGCCCAAUUGAUUUUGUGAAGAUGUAUGGCUUCAACUUUUAGAGAAGUGGAAUACCGAUGAAUGGAAGCAGAAGAGUAAAAAAGCAAAGACAAAUAGAACCUUCAAUAAGGGUAGAUCAUUGCACACCGAAAGUUCAAUUAGUUUUGCAGUCUAUCGAUUGAGAUUGGAAAAGGAACAUGGGAGAAAUGUGUCCCAUGCUCAUGUGUUUGAGGAGACACAUAGGAAAAAGAAAAAGGAUGGUACACGAGAAGGAAGGGUUGAACCGCGUGCAUAAUAGACAUAUGAAGAGUAUUAAAGAAGAUUGGAGGAAUGGCACUCAGCCUGAUUCCUAACCGUCCCCCGAAGAUAUGACUUCAAUAUGGAUACAAGCAACCGGUGAAGUAAAUAAAAAUAGAGUCUGCGAACUUGGAGUACAACCAUCCUCCAAUCAUCCAGCCGCAUUAUUUAGUGAUGCUUCUACUUCACCCGAAGAAAUUGAGACUAUGCGGAUACAAAUUAAUGAAUUGUUGCAACAAUGGAACAAUGCUCAAGAAACAAUAAGUAUGAUGCGGAUAUUCAUGGAAAAACAUGGCAAUCAACGUACAAUGGAGAAAUCUAACAAUGAGGAGACUGAAACUAAUGAGGAAUAAUAUUUUGAAUGUGUUAUAUGAUAUUU